rnacentral:rRNA from 1 species
UACGUAGGGUGCGAGCGUUAAUCGGAAUUACUGGGCGUAAAGCGUGCGCAGGCGGUUCGUUGUGUCGGCGGUGAAAGCCCCGGGCUUAACCUGGGAAUGGCCGUUGAAACUGGCGAACUGGAGUGUGGCAGAGGGGGGUGGAAUUCCGCGUGUAGCAGUGAAAUGCGUAGAUAUGCGGAGGAACACCGAUGGCGAAGGCAAUCCCCUGGGCCUGCACUGACGCUCAUGCACGAAAGCGUGGAGAGCAAACAGG